GCAACUAGAUGUGGGAGGUAUCGACCCCUUCCGUGUCGUCGCUAACGCUUUAAGUUGCCCGCCUGGGGAGUACGGCCGCAAGGUUAAAACUCAAAGGAAUUGACGGGGACCCGCACAAGCGGUGGAUGAUGUGGAUUAAUUCGAUGCAACGCGAAAAACCUUACCUACCCUUGACAUGUCUGGAAUGCCGAAGAGAUUUGGCAGUGCUCGCAAGAGAACCGGAACACAGGUGCUGCAUGGCUGUCGUCAG
rnacentral:rRNA from 1 species